rnacentral:rRNA from 1 species
GAGUUUGAUCUUGGCUCAGGAUGAACGCUAGCGGCAGGCCUAAUACAUGCAAGUCGAGGGGCAACAGGAGUAGCAAUACUUGCUGGCGACCGGCGCACGGGUGCGUAACACGUAUAUAAUCUGCCUUUAACAGGGGGAUAGCCCGGAGAAAUCCGGAUUAAUAGCCCAUAAUAGAUUUUCUGGCAUCAGGAGAUUUUGAAAGUUCCGACGGUUAAAGAUGAGUAUGCGUCUGAUUAGCUAGUUGGUGAGGUAACGGCUCACCAAGGCGACGAUCAGUAGGGGAUCUGAGAGGACUACCCCCCACACGGAUACUGAGACACGGAUCCGACUCCUACGGGAGGCAGCAGUAAGGAAUAUUGGACAAUGCCCGCAAGGGUGAUCCAGCCAUGCCGCGUGCAGGAAGACGGCCCUAUGGGUUGUAAACUGCUUUUACACCGGAGAAAACCCCUGUACGUGUACGGGGCUGAUAGUAUGGUGAGAAUAAGCAUCGGCUAACUUCGUGCCAGCCGCCGCGGUAA